rnacentral:rRNA from 1 species
UAUAGAUGGAUCCGCGCUGCAUUAGCUAGUUGGUAAGGUAACGGCUUACCAAGGCAACGAUGCAUAGCCGACCUGAGAGGGUGAUCGGCCACACUGGAACUGAGACACGGUCCAGACUCCUACGGGAGGCAGCAGUAGGGAAUCUUCCGCAAUGGGCGAAAGCCUGACGGAGCAACGCCGCGUGAGUGAUGAAGGUCUUCGGAUCGUAAAACUCUGUUAUUAGGGAAGAACAUAUGUGUAAGUAACUGUGCACAUCUUGACGGUACCUAAUCAGAAAGCCACGGCUAACUACGUGCCAGCAGCCGCGGUAAUACGUAGGUGGCAAGCGUUAUCCGGAAUUAUUGGGCGUAAAGCGCGCGUAGGCGGUUUUUUAAGUCUGAUGUGAAAGCCCACGGCUCAACCGUGGAGGGUCAUUGGAAACUGGAAAACUUGAGUGCAGAAGAGGAAAGUGGAAUUCCAUGUGUAGCGGUGAAAUGCGCAGAGAUAUGGAGGAACACCAGUGGCGAAGGCGACUUUCUGGUCUGUAACUGACGCUGAUGUGCGAAAGCGUGGGGAUCAAACAGGAUUAGAUACCCUGGUAGUCCACGCCGUAAACGAUGAGUGCUAAGUGUUAGGGGGUUUCCGCCCCUUAGUGCUGCAGCUAACGCAUUAAGCACUCCGCCUGGGGAGUACGACCGCAAGGUUGAA